AAUGUCAUUUCUUGUAAAACAAUAAAGCAAUUAACAAGUUACAUCAUAUUCAACCAAAACUAAUAUGCUCUAGGUAAGGUAGAAACAGUAGCAGAAUAAACUAAAUAAGUCAGUUCAUAUACAAUACCCAUUUGACAAUCGGAUGAAUACGUUUUUGCAUAAACCUAAUCUUUGCCCAAGUGAAAAUAAUCGAAAUAGGGAACACUGUUGUGUCUUUGAUUCCUCAAUUGGGAAACGAAGGCCUUUGGUAGGGAUGCCAAUGUCUGGUUGAACUCUAGUGAUGCUCUAGCUGGUUGGGGCCUGUGAAGGAGUUAUGAACUUGAGGGAUGAAUUGAAAUAUGGAACUAUUGCAAAGUUGCAUUGUUG
rnacentral:misc_RNA from 1 species